rnacentral:rRNA from 1 species
UACGGGGGGAGCAAGCGUUGUUCGGAUUUACUGGGCGUAAAGGGUGUGUAGGCGGCUGAAUAAGUCUGGCGUGAAAUCUUCACCGCUUAGCGGGAAGGGGUCGCUGGAAACUGUUCAGCUUGAGUAUGGUAGAGGCAAACGGAAUUCCUGGUGUAGCGGUGGAAUGUGUAGAUAUCAGGAAGAACACCGGUGGCGAAGGCGGUUUGCUGGGCCAUCACUGACGCUGAGACACGAAAGCGUGGGGAGCAAACGGG